AUUACUGGGCGUAAAGCGUUCGUAGGCGGUUAUUUAAGCAAGAUGUGAAAGCCCAGGGCUCAACCUUGGAACUGCAUUUUGAACUGGGUAACUAGAGUACUGUAGAGGGUGGUGGAAUUUCCAGUGUAGCGGUGAAAUGCGUAGAGAUUGGAAGGAACAUCAGUGGCGAAGGCGGCCACCUGGACAGAUACUGACGCUGAGGAACGAAAGCGUGGGGAGCGAACAGGAUUAGAUACCCUGGUAGUCCACGCCGUAAACGAUGUCAACUAGCCGUUUGUGUCCUAGAGCCGUGAGUGGCGCAGCUAACGCACUAAGUUGACCGCCUGGGGAGUACGGCCGCAAGGUUAAAACUCAAAUGAAUUGACGGGGGCCCGCACAAGCGGUGGAGCAUGUGGUUUAAUUCGAUGCAACGCGAAGAACCUUACCAUCCCUUGACAUCCAGAGAAGAGACUAGAGAUAGUUUAGUGCCUUCGGGAACUGUGUGACAGGUGCUGCAUGGCUGUCGUCAGCUCGUGUUGUGAAAU
rnacentral:rRNA from 1 species